AGAAUCAACGCUGGCGGCGUGCCUAACACAUGCAAGUCGCACGAGAAAGGGGAGCAAUCCCUGAGUAAAGUGGCGCACGGGUGAGUAACACGUGAAUAAUCUACCUCCGAGUGGGGAAUAACUGAGAGAAAUCUUAGCUAAUACCGCAUAACACUUACGAGUCAAAGCAGCAAUGCGCUUGGAGAGGAGUUCGCGGCCGAUUAGUUAGUUGCGGGGUAAUGGCCCACCAAGACGAUGAUCGGUA
rnacentral:rRNA from 1 species